UGGGGAAUAUUGCGCAAUGGGCGAAAGCCUGACGCAGCCACGCCGCGUGAGCGAUGAAGGUUUUCGGAUCGUAAAGCUCUGUGGGGGGAGAAGAAUAAAGCCGUUGAAGAGGCGGCCCUGACGGUAUCCCCUUAGCAAGCACCGGCUAACUCCGUGCCAGCAGCCGCGGUAAUACGGAGGGUGCAAACGUUGCUCGGAAUCACUGGGCGUAAAGCGCGCGUAGGCGGCCAGUCAAGUUGGAUGUGAAAGCCCUGGGCUCAACCUGGGAAGUGCAUCCAAAACUGGUUGGCUCGAGUUUCGGAGGGGGCCAGAGAAUUCCCGGUGUAGAGGUGAAAUUCGUAGAUAUCGGGAGGAAUACCAGUGGCGAAGGCGCUGGCCUGGACGGAAACUGACGCUGAGGCGCGAAAGCGUGGGUAGCAAACAGGAUUAGAUACCCGCGUAGUCC
rnacentral:rRNA from 1 species